rnacentral:misc_RNA from 1 species
GAUGAAGAACGUAGCGAAAUGCGAUAAGUAGUGUGAAUUGCAGAAUUCAGUGAAUCAUCGAAUCUUUGAACGCACAUUGCGCCCUUUGGUAUUCCUUAGGGCAUGCCUGUUCGAGCGUCAUUUAAACCUUCAAGCUAGGCUUGGUGUUGGGUGACUGUCCGCUUCACGGCGGACUCGCCUCAAAAUUAUUGGCGGCCGGUACAUUGGCUUCGAGCGCAGCAGAAACGCGAACUCGGGCCCGUCGUAUUGGCUCCCAGAAGCUAUCUUCACAAUUUUGACCUCGGAUCAGGUAGGGAUACCCGCUGAACUUAAGCAUAUCAAUAAGCGGAGGA